CAUACUUGAAGUGUGCAGUGGUAAAUUAAUUAAUUUAAAAAAAACAAGCUAAAUAAUUUAAAAAUAUUUUAUUUUCUUCACUGAAACACAAUAAUAAAUAAUUAUUCAUUAAAUAAUUAAAUAAUAUAUGUGUCUCUCUGCGUUAUUCGGAUAGAAGGUGUAAAUACUCAAUUAGAAAGAGCUGCCUGUACGUAAAAGUACGUAAAGUUAUUUUUUGAUUUUUCUACAACAUAUUAAUCGAAAUGAAGACGUCAUUUGGCUAUCUGGGAAUCGAUUUGCUGCAGUUACACAAGUGAUUUGAUAAAAAUGCACUAUGUGGUUGAUUGAAGUCAUACAGUUUGCACAUUAUCAGUACCAGCCACAAUGACAUAUCAUUACUUAUUUACAUUAACCGCUGCUUGUCAUCCAGAUGUAUUAUGUUUUCGAAUUUUACAAAUUAAUAAUCCAAAUUAAUAUAAGGCUCUUAGUACAAUGCGUUA